UGAAGGUUUGUCCAAGAGGGAGAAGAGGAAGAGAAAGCGGGAAGCUUCCAGGAAAGAACUUGGACAAAUACUUAAAGCCUUCAAGCAAUCGGAGAACUCAGAACUGUUUGAAGACCUUGAUGACGAAAGUAAAGACUCAUCUACUGUUCAGGAUCCUCACAAAGAAAGAACAGCAGCUAAAGAAACUGAGUGGAAGGUCGUCCCAGAAAAAAUAGAGGAGCUUGAAAAAAAGUGCAAAAAAAGGAAGAUGAAAAAGAAGAACUCGCUCGGCUCCUGGACGAAGAAAGAGAGAGGACAAGAAGACUGACAGAUGCCCUCCUCAACAAGAUUGUAAUUGCUCCCACUGCUCAGACGGCUACAGUGCAAGUACUGUCCAUCAGGGAAAUGCUGGUGCCAGCUAUAUCUCCAGGU